GAUGAACGCUGGCGGCGUGCCUAAUACAUGCAAGUCGAGCGAACAGACGAGGAGCUUGCUCCUCUGACGUUAGCGGCGGACGGGUGAGUAACACGUGGAUAACCUACCUAUAAGACUGGGAUAACUUCGGGAAACCGGAGCUAAUACCGGAUAAUAUAUUGAACCGCAUGGUUCAAUAGUGAAAGACGGUUUUGCUGUCACUUAUAGAUGGAUCCGCGCCGCAUUAGCUAGUUGGUAAGGUAACGGCUUACCAAGGCAACGAUGCGUAGCCGACCUGAGAGGGUGAUCGGCCACACUGGAACUGAGACACGGUCCAGACUCCUACGGGAGGCAGCAGUAGGGAAUCUUCCGCAAUGGGCGAAAGCCUGACGGAGCAACGCCGCGUGAGUGAUGAAGGUCUUCGGAGCGUAAAACUCUGUUAUUAGGGAAGAACAAAUGUGUAAGUAACUAUGCACGUCUUGACGGUACCUAAUCAGAAAGCCACGGCUAACUACGU
rnacentral:rRNA from 1 species